GAUUAUCAAAGUUGAUAUAAUCAUUUUGCAUCUAUAUAUUGUAGUAACUAUGCUUUAGAGUAUUUUAUGUAUGUCAUAUAUAGAGGUAUCAUGAUCUUUAUCUCUUUUUUUUCUUCUUGCGGUUGGAAUGUGUAGGAAAUGCACAGAUGUUAAGUAUGGAACCUUUUCUAAUGAACUGUCAGUUAUGUUGCAUAUCGACUCUGCUUGUAUGAUUGGCUGGGUAUCUUGAGGUGCUUCAUGCUAGGUUUCUGUCUGAAUCACCCGUUGACAGUUUUGGAUGCUGUGGUUUUAGUUGGCCGCUUACUAUUUUCCUUAGCUUUCUUAUUGGUUGCUCACUUUUGCUGCAUUUUCAAUAUGCAACGAAGUUGGUUUGUAUCUUAUAUAAGGUCCGAUCAGUCAUAGAUGUCGUUGAUGGGGUAGGGUUUGCUGAUACUCGUCUGGCUUCUCAUUGCCCCAACCUUCCUAGUAGGCUUCCUACUGUGCCUGCAAUAGAUCAUAUGUAUCUUAUAUAUUCAUUCUACAACCUAUGGAUUUUUAAGAUAUGUGAGUUCUGCCAAUGUAAUGCCAUACCAUUGCUAGCCUAAAGAUAAUGCAAUAGAUCAUAUGUAUCUUAUAUUUUCAUUCUCCAACCUAUGGAUUUUUAAGAUAUGUGAGUUCUGCCAAUGUAAUGCCAUACCAUUGCUAGCCUAAAGAUAAACAACUUGGUUAUAUCAUAUAUGCACUUCCUAAGAAGCCUUAGAAAGUAGACUAGUUCAGAGGUUGUGUCCACUUCUGAAUCUGCAUCUAGUGGCACUGUUCAGAAAAUCUCGAUCCAACAACGAAAUUUGUGUUUCUGGUUACAAGUGUUAAGAGUGCUAAUAGGUCACCAAGGCUUUAGCCCAGUGGUAAGAGCACAACGUGUGAUUUGUGGGUUAGGUGCAUUUUGUGGGGUCAAACCACAAAAGCCUGGUACAUGAGUGGAAAAUGGUAGAGGGAUGAGCCCAUUAUCUACCGGGAACCAUGCACCACUUGCCUCUGAGAUUUCUCUUCUAUAAAAAGGUUCUAAGAGUGCUAAUAGCAUGUCUUUGUCUUGGC
rnacentral:lncRNA from 1 species